rnacentral:sRNA from 1 species
GCACCAGCAAAAUCUGGUGCCGGGAUUGGUCUCCCGGUAAUCUCAAUGGCGAUACAUGACGCGCCAAGCGUCUUUUUU